rnacentral:rRNA from 1 species
CUGAGGCGGUGACCUGCUGAGGACAUUG